AAAUUGAAGAGUUUGAUCAUGGCUCAGAUUGAACGCUGGCGGCAGGCCUAACACAUGCAAGUCGAACGGUAACAGGAAACAGCUUGCUGUUUCGCUGACGAGUGGCGGACGGGUGAGUAAUGUCUGGGAAACUGCCUGAUGGAGGGGGAUAACUACUGGAAACGGUAGCUAAUACCGCAUAAUGUCGCAAGACUAAAGAGGGGGACCUUCGGGCCUCUUGCCAUCGGAUGUGCCCAGAUGGGAUUAGCUAGUAGGUGGGGUAACGGCUCACCUAGGCGACGAUCCCUAGCUGGUCUGAGAGGAUGACCAGCCACACUGGAACUGAGACACGGUCCAGACUCCUACGGGAGGCAGCAGUGGGGAAUAUUGCACAAUGGGCGCAAGCCUGAUGCAGCCAUGCCGCGUGUAUGAAGAAGGCCUUCGGGUUGUAAAGUACUUUCAGCGGGGAGGAAGGGAGUAAAGUUAAUACCUUUACUCAUUGACGUUACCCGCAGAAGAAGCACCGGCUAACUCCGUGCCAGCAGCCGCGGUAAUACG
rnacentral:rRNA from 2 species